rnacentral:misc_RNA from 1 species
GCCAAAUUUGCUGGUGGACAUGGCGGAGGGAAUGCUGCUUUCGCCGCCAAGAAUAACCUCUUCCGAUGACUCUGCAGGAACUUCCGAUGGAGAGAGUCUGUGGAGCUAUUUUUAAUACAUAAUCAGUUUAUAGAAUGCUAGCUCCUUAAUCUCUAAAUUUCAAGAAUGGAUCGAUUAACAUGAAGCGUAACAACAUAUAGAAAGAUACAAGAGGACAUGGCCGCAUCUAGUGACCUUUUUUUUGCACAAUUGGCCUCUCAUCGAUCAAUGAAUAAAAAGAAGAGAUCAUGGAGGGAAAUUCAAGAAAAACAGGAUCAAAGAAUUUUUAACAGUGAUUCCCAACACGUAGAGUUUUUGAAUCUGAUCAUUCAGAAGAGUGAGAGAUUUUAGGGUUUGCAUAAUAUGGUGAUCUGUGAG